rnacentral:tRNA from 1 species
GGGGAUGUAGCUCAGUUGCUAGGGUGCUUGUCUGGUAUGCAUGAAGCUCUGGGUUUGAUUCCUAGCAUCACAU